rnacentral:sRNA from 1 species
UUUUUGGAAUAUCGGGUGUCCACCAUCCUCCUCCGGCUGUUCUCCUUCGCAUCUGGCGGCCGACACCGCAGAGGCUAUAUUCCGCUUCCUGUGCGAAAGAGCCCGUC